AAUGAGUUCUGUACAUUGAGCAUGAAUCAGCAAGGCCCUGCUAGAGUGCUAGAACAUACACACCCACAGGACACUCAUGGGCUUAUUUUAUCCACAUGCACAGUGGCACAGCCAUUAACUACACAGGGGAAUGCAGUCCAGGUGGGGAGAGCAAGAAACAGCUGGAGUACAACAGGAGCUAGAGUUUGCCAAACUACAGAAAACUGACCAGUCUCUUGCUGCCUCUGCAGGGGCCAGAAGAGAACAGGAGGAGAGUAGGAUUUGGAGAGAUGGGGCUGCUCUUUGGACAGGGAUGUCUGCCACUCUGAGUCAGGGUCCUCACAGUGUGCAGAUAUCCUAGGUACUCUCAACAUCAGCCUCAGUGUUGGGUGCAUGAGUGUCAGGAAAAGUAAGAGUGAUCCACCCCUUUACCCCUCUCCUGCAUCAAGAAAAUUUAGGUCCCUGUUCCUCCUAUAGAUUGUACAGCUCACGGUCCCAGGCAGGCUGUGCUCAGUUACACUCUCCCCUUUCCACCAUUCCAGGAGGACUUCCUGGAGCCCAAUGUUGACAGCACGAGAGAGAUGGGGCAGUAUUAGAGCAGAAGGCAUCAGAUUGGAUCAGCAGGGCUGGUGUGAAGACUCUUAUGUGGAGGAGGUUUUACCAUUGUAUUACUCAGUUCUUAUUGAAGGAAUGGAAGCAGAGUAUGUGAACCUUAGGAAGGUGUAGUAGGUUUGUGUGGGGACUCACUGCAAAAAUUUUGAUUCAAAAUUAAAAGGGCUUAAAAAGUUGUUACAAAAUAUAAUUGCAUUGGGGGAAGGAGAAUGGGUUGGAGGUAGAGGAUUGCAGGAACCUAGGACCUUGUAUAGCAAGUGAUAGAAGGCACUGGUAUAUCUGGUCACAUGGAAUACCUACCACAGAUCUUAUUUUUCACCUGUUUCCGAGACCCCAAGAUCCAUCCCUGGAGAUUUUUGUUAUUCUGUGGGCUGAGGAGGCUGACUUUGUCCCUAGUAUCUGUGGAGUGUACCAUUGUGACAGGGCUGGUUCCAUGAUGUCACUGUUGCCCAGCACCCCUCUCUCUGUGUUCUACUGCAGUUAGAGGCUUACUGACUUGGAGGUUUUUUUUUAUUUUUUAUUUAGGAAGCUCAUUCAUCACAGGAGGACACAGGUGACUGCAACCUGCUUUCUUCAUUUCCUGCUGAGUUGGGGACAGUCCCUGCAAGAUGAGCAAAAAGAAGAGGGUAAACCAUCUUGACUAAGAUACCUCAGCUGCAGUGAAGAACCCAACACUUCAUUGUCCAAGCACUUAAGCCCAAGUACUUGAGUCCCAGUGUAGACCACUCCACUCACAUAGUAAGUGACAUAUCAAAUAGUCCUUGCCCCCAACUCAUCUGUAUCCCCAGCACUGAUCCCUAAACUCUCAGGAAAGGAUUCCCUCUUGUUGACUAAGUCACUCCCAUCAGUGACAAAUAUUUGUCAAAAUGAGAAAUAAAUUGACAAAUUUUCUCUUCAGCCAUUUUGUUCAGUUCACCAAAGUUUGGUUACUGCCUCACUUCACUCAAGAAAUCUCUGGUCCAACAAUCUCUCUGUCCAAAUGAGAGCUUCACCAAUGUGCUGAUUUCCCAAGCUGCCUGCAGCAUCAGACCUCACCCUCCUGCCUAUUCAGGCUCUUUUUGCUCUUGACUUUUACUGUUGCCAGUCUCUUCUCACCACAUAAGGUCAAGAGGCUGUAUCCUAACACAAGACCAUAAAGCACAGAUUCUGAACUUUCUCCCACUGUCCACGGACCACACUUCUUAAAACCUAAACUUCUUUCAUGAUACCCCUCUCUUCUCAUUAUAAACAAGAAUCUUAAGUCCAAAUUCUUGGCUCUGAAUCCUAGCCACCUUCACUCAGUCCCACUCACUUUCCUUCCAAACAUCCUUCCCCCAGCUUAGCUGUCACUGCCCCAGCUCCACACUUGGCUGUGCCCUGGACAAUGCUACUGCCUCUCUGACUUCUGCUAGCAUCCAACACAGGCCUCCACUCCCUUAAACCAUUCCCUACAAGGGAUUUCUCAUGUAUCUCAGAUCUUGUACUCACACUUUUGCACAUGAAUUUACUUCUUAGAAAGUAUUAUUUAAUAAAUUCAGUUGCUUUCUAAAGUAAUUGAGAUCAUUCUGAGUUUUAUUAUCUUUGUGUAAACUUGCAUAUAAUUGUUAUUGCCAUUUUGUGGCAUUUAAUGUAGUUUUAAGAUAAUAACUUCACAAUGCAUAUUUGCAAUUCAAAAUUUAGGAGGAAGGCAUUGUCAUAUUCACUUUUUACAUAAGACACAUGAGCUCAUGGGGUCUGCGCUAUGGUGCAAUAGGUUAAUCCUCUGCCUGCAGUGCUGGUGUCCCAUAUGGGCACUGGUUCUAGUCCUGGCUGCUCUUCUUCCAAUACAGCUCUCUGCUGUGGCCUGGGAAAUCAGUAGAAGAUGGUCCAAGUUCUUGAGCCCCUGCACCUACGUGGGAGACUGGGAAGAAGCACCUGGCUCCUGGCUUGGAUUUGCACAGUUCUGGCCAUUGUGGCCAUUUGGGGAGUGAACCAAUGGAAGGAAGACCUUUCUCUCUGUUUCUUCAUCUCACUGUCUAUAAUUCUACCUCUGAAAGUAAAUAAAUAAAAUCUUUAAAACUAGACACAUGAGCUCUCAAAGAGGUUAAGUUACUAUCCAAGAUCACACAGCUAGUAGAUUGUAGACCCAGGAAUUGAACAUCAAAGGCUGUGUUAAGAUGGAAGUUUAUAGCAACCAGUGGCUACAUCAACAAACUUGAAAGACAUCAAAUAAAUGAUCUAAGGAUGUAUCUCAAGGACCCAGAAAAACAAGAACACACCAAACCUAUACUUGGAGGAAAGAAAUAAUUAAAAUUAGAGAAGAAAUAAACAAAAUUGAGGCAAAAAAAUAUAGAAAAGAUCAGUGAAAUGAAGAGCUGCUUUUUGGAAAAAAUAAAAAAUAUACACCAUUGGCCCAACUAACCCAAGAAAAGGAAGAAAACCCAUAUUGAAAAUUGGAGAUGAAAAAGGAUUAUAAUGAAUAUCACAUAUAAAAAAAAAGAAUCAUCAG